UGAUUCGUCUAAGAAGUUUAAGAUUGCUGAGGGUCAGUGGUAUCGUUAUGCGCCUUCGUAUGUUUCUCCUGCUUAUCACCUUCUUGAAGGCUUCCCAUUCAUUCAGGAACCGCCUUCUGGUGAUUUGCAAGAACGCGUACUUAUUCGCCACCAUGAUUAUGACCAGUGUUUCCAGUCCGUUCAGUUGUUGCAGUGGAAUAGUCAGGUUAAAUUUAAUGUGACCGUUUAUCGCAAUCUGCCGACCACUCGCGAUUCAAUCAUGACUUCGUGAUAAAAGAUUGAGUGUGAGGUUAUAACGCCGAAGCGGUAAAAAUUUUAAUUUUUGCCGCUGAGGGGUUGACCAAGCGAAGCGCGGUAGG
rnacentral:rRNA from 1 species